AACUUUGCGCAGUGCCAAUAUCAUAACCAAUGAAGUCAAACUGAGUUUCGAUUAUUGCUGAUUGGAAAUAUUUGACUCGAAGUGAAUAAAAAUGCCUUGCAACAAAGAAGAUGGAUUUUUUGUCAUAUUAUUUAUAAA